UGUACCCCUAGAGGCACUGCAGUUGUGGCUGCUGAAUCCUGUGUUUGUCAGUAGGUGGCAGAGAAGAGAGAGGCCAUGUCUACCUGUGUGAGACUUGUGAACUUCUGAAUGAUUUAGUAGGAGUCUAAUAUU